UACGGGGGGGGCAAGCGUUGUUCGGAAUUACUGGGCGUAAAGGGUUCGUAGGUGGCCUACUAAGUCAGACGUGAAAUCCCUCAGCUUAACUGGGGAACUGCGUCUGAUACUGGGGGGCUUGAGGACAGGAGAGGAACGCGGAAUUCCAGGUGUAGCGGUGAAAUGCGUAGAUAUCUGGAGGAACACCGGUGGCGAAGGCGGCGUUCUGGACUGUUUCUGACACUGAGGAACGAAAGCCAGGGGAGCAAGCGGG
rnacentral:rRNA from 1 species